UGCAGGGUAGAUCUGAGCUACUUGCUGGGGA
rnacentral:piRNA from 1 species